GACGGAGGGGGCUAGCGUUGUUCGGAAUUACUGGGCGUAAAGCGCGCGUAGGCGGCCGGUCAAGUUAGGCGUGAAAGGCCCGGGCUCAACCUGGGAACGGCGCUUAAGACUGAUCGGCUGGAGUCCGGGAGAGGGUGGUGGAAUUCCCAGUGUAGAGGUGAAAUUCGUAGAUAUUGGGAGGAACACCAGUGGCGAAGGCGGCCACCUGGCCCGGCACUGACGCUGAGGCGCGAAAGCGUGGGGAGCAAACAGG
rnacentral:rRNA from 1 species